rnacentral:tRNA from 1 species
GCCUGGGUGGCUCAGUCGGUUAAGCGUCCGACUUCGGCUCAGGUCGUGAGCUCGCGGUUCGUGGGUUCGAGCCCCGCGUCGGGCU